GACGAACGCUGGCGGCGUGCUUAACACAUGCAAGUCGAACGGAAAGGCCCUGCUUUCGUCUGGUGCUCGCGUGGCGAAGGGGUGUGAAACCUGUGAGUAUCCUGCCCUUGACUUUGGGAUAACUUCAGGAAACUGGGGAUACUACAUGCUAGGAGAUCCUGCUGCAUGGUGGGGGUUGGACCGUUUCGGCUGUUGGGGAUAGAGUUCCGGUUUAUUAGCUGGUUGGUGGGGUAGUGGCCUACCAAGGCUUUGGUGGGUAGCCGGCCUGAGAGGGUGGACAGCCACAAGGCGACUGAGGUACGGCGCAGACGCCAACAGGAGGCAGCAGGGGAGAGUAUGGCACAAUGGGCGGAAGUCUGAGACAGCAACGCUCCGAUCGGGAUGACGGCCUUCGUGUUGUAAACCGCUUUAGCCUAUGACGAAGCUGUAGUGACGUUAAUAAGUAAAGAAGCACCGGCUAACUACGUG
rnacentral:rRNA from 1 species